rnacentral:misc_RNA from 1 species
CAACCCUCAAGCCUGGCUUGGUGAUGGGGCACUGCCUUCUAGCGAGGGCAGGCCCUGAAAUCUAGUGGCGAGCUCGCUAGGACCCCGAGCGUAGUAGUUAUAUCUCGUUCUGGAAGGCCCUGGCGGUGCCCUGCCGUUAAACCCCCAACUUCUGAA